rnacentral:rRNA from 1 species
GUUGGCUUAGAAGCAGCCAUCAUUUAAAGAAAGCGUAAUAGCUCACUGGUCGAGUCGGCCUGCGCGGAAGAUGUAACGGGGCUAAACCAUGCACCGAAGCUGCGGCAGCGAACGUAUCACUUAAAGCGAUUCAGCGGGUUACGAUUGACGGAGCGAAGCGACGUCAAAGCGUAUACAAAGUCGAGUCGGUUUAAGGAUACGUUCGUUGGGUAGGGGAGCGUUCUGUAAGCCUG